rnacentral:tRNA from 1 species
AGUUAUAAAGCUUUAAUAAUAAGCAGUAUGUUUUGAAAGCAUAUUAAAGGAGUUAAAAUCUCCUAAUAACUU